rnacentral:tRNA from 1 species
CGCGGGGUGGAGCAGUUCGGUAGCUCGUCGGGCUCAUAACCCGAAGGUCGGCGGUUCAAAUCCGUCCCCCGCAA